rnacentral:rRNA from 1 species
UCACUGGGUUUAAAGGGUGCGUAGGCGGGCAAGUAAGUCAGUGGUGAAAUCCCCCAGCUUAACUGGGGAACUGCCAUUGAUACUGUUGGUCUUGAGUAUAGUUGAGGUAGGCGGAAUAUGUCAUGUAGCGGUGAAAUGCUUAGAUAUGACACAGAACACCGAUUGCGAAGGCAGCUCACUAAACUAUAAUUGACGCUGAGGCACGAAAGCGUGGGGAUCAAACAGGAUUAGAUACCCUGGUAGUCCACACCGUAAACGAUGAUUACUCGACGUUUGCGAUACACAGUAAGCGUCUAAGCGAAAGCGUUAAGUAAUCCACCUGGGGAGUACGCCCGCAAGAAUAAACUCAAAGGAAUUGACGGGGGUCCGCACAAGCGGGGAGCAUGUGGUUUAAUUCGAUGCUACGCGAGGAACCUUA